AGCAUGGCCAGGGGCGGGGCUUCCCUGAGGCGCGCCGAGAGGCGGUGGCCCACUUCCGGCAAUAAUCGCCUGGUCGCCGUCAGGUGCCGGCCCAGGUGGCAGGCGCGCCCGUUGGGCACUGGGGGACGCGGGCGCGUCAGGUGAAGACUGGGGGCUGCAGGCGCGCUAGGAGAACUAUGCCAUUUUUGGGUCAGGACUGGAGAUCUCCUGGAUGGAGUUGGAUUAAGACAGAAGAUGGCUGGAAGAAUUGUGAAUCUUGUAGUCAGAAACUUGAAAGAGAGAAUAACCAUUGUAACAUCAGUCACAGCAUUAUCUUAAAUAGCGAAGAUGGAGAAAUACUCAAUAAUGAAGAGCAUGAAUAUGCAUCCAAAAAAAGAAAAAGGACCAUUUUAGAAAUGACACAAAUACUCAAAGUUUUUAUCAUGAAAAAUGGAUCUAUGUCCAUAAAGAAAGCACAAAAGAAAGGCAUGGCUAUUGCACCUUGGGAGAAACCUUUAAUCGGUUAGACUUCUCAAGUGCAAUUCAAGAUACCCGAAGGUUCAAUUAUGUGGUCAAACUGCAGGACAAAUUCGAGCAUCUUAAAAUGAUUCAACAGGAGGAGAUAAGGAAGCUCGAGGAAGAGAAAAAACAACUGGAAGGAGAAAUCAUAGAUUUUUAUAAAAUGAAAGCUGCCUCUGAAGCACUGCAGACUCAGCUGAGCACUGAUACAAAGAAAGACAAACAUCACCAAACCAAUGCAGACCAAACCAAUGCAGAACUCCUAUGUGCUGAUGGUGGUCUUACAUUUCCCUAAGUUUCUGCCGACUAAACUGUGCACACGUUCUCAGGACCUCCUGAAGCUGCGUCACAGGCACUAAUCAAAGAACACAACCAAGAGUUUGGCCUUUUCUUCAGCACUGGGAAUUGUGAUCCAAAGCUUUUCCUGAUGAAGCACAAAGUUGGAGAAAAAAAAGCAAACUAAACAACAACAAUGAAACAGAACAGAGUUAAUCUGCUGUAGCUCAAGAGAGGAUGUACCUGCCCCCACCCCGCAUCCCUGGGCUCGGGUUUGCCUUGCUGACCUCUGCUGCCACCUGGUGCCACACAGAGAAACUGAGGAGAAACCACAUCAGUCUCCUUCAGCCUCAGCUUCACAUCUGUGGGUCAAGUAACCCUUUCAGAAGCUGAAUAAUGUGGGAAAGCUUUCCUCUCAGGAAAAUGCACACAUCCAACUUUGAGAAGAUGCCCUUGGGGGUGCUUCAAGGAUCCUAGAUAAAGAACCCCCUUUCCCGAACAUCCAAGAACCUAAGUUUUUUUUUUUUUUUUUGAGAAAGUCUCGCUCUCUCUCCCAGUCUGGAGUGCAGUGGCGUGAUCUUGGCUCACUGCAAGCUCCACCUCCCAGGUUCACGCCAUUCUCCUGCCUCAGCCUCCCGAGUAGCU
rnacentral:lncRNA from 1 species